GUCCCCUGAUGGGGGAAAGAUCUAUCUGCCAUGAGAUGGGCCCGGGUAGGAUUAGCUAGUUGGUGAGGUAACAGGCUCACAAGGUUCGAUCCUUAGCUGGUCUUGAAGAAGGAUUGAUCAAGCACACUGGGAACUGAGACACGGGCCAAGACUCCUACGGGAGGCAGCAGUGGGGAAUAUUGGACAAUGGGCGCAAGCCUGAUCCAGCCAUGCCGCGUGAGUGAUGAAGGCCUUCGGGUUGUAAAGCUCUUUUGGCGGGGACGAUGAUGACGGUACCCGCUAGAAUAAGCCCCGGCUAACUUCGUGCCAGCAGCCGCGGUAAGACGAAGGGGGCAAGCGUUGUUCGGAAUUGACUGGGCGUAAAGGGCGCGUAGGCGGCUC
rnacentral:rRNA from 1 species